rnacentral:misc_RNA from 1 species
AGACAGCACAUGAGGGCCACCCAUCCUUGAAAUAUCAUAUGCUUUAAGUGCAAGUUUUUUAGCAGCUUCUGUUAUAGCAUUUCCACAAGUUUCCUCACAACAUUCAUUCACAAGAUCGAUCUUGCCACAGGCAGCAAGUAGGCUAGAGGAGUCCACAGUGCUCUCAAACUCAUGAACAUCUUUGACUGGGCAAGAACCUUCAGUAAGGUUUUCCGGAUGGAGAGAGCAUAUCUUCUGCAGAGUAUCAUUGGCACCCUGACUGACCAGGAGUUGCUGAAAAUCUGAAAGGCAGUGCUU